UCGGGGAUCGUCCAACGGUAAGACAGCGGCCUUUGAAGCCGUCAAUCAUGGUUCGAAUCCAUGUCCCCGAA
rnacentral:tRNA from 1 species